rnacentral:rRNA from 1 species
AAGGAUCAUUAUCGAGUUAGGGUCCUCUGGGCCCCAUCUCCAACCCUUGCUUAUUCUACCAUGUUGCUUCGGCGGGCCCGUCCUUAACCGGACCGCUGGGGACCUAGGUCCCUGGCCCGUGCCCGUCAGUAGGCCCGAUAAAUUCUUCUCACAGUGACGUCUAAGUAUCAUGAUAAUAACUAAAACUUUCAACAACGGAUCUCUUGGUUCUGGCAUCGAUGAAGAACGCAGCGAAAUGCGAUAAGUAAUGCGAAUUGCAGAAUUCCGUGAGUCAUCGAAUCUUUGAACGCACAUUGCGCCCUCUGGUAUUCCGGAGGGCAUGCCUGUUCGAGCGUCAUUAUCAACCCUCAAGCCCGGCUUGCUGUUGGGUCACACCGUCGAAGAAACGGUCGAUCCAAAAGAUAAUGGCAGAGUCCGCGGGACCCUGGAUGUAACGAGCUUUUUAGUACGCAUCUGGGCGGUCUCCGGGCUUGGUCUGAACCAAACAAUUUCUCUGGUUGACCUCGGAUCAGGUAGGGAUACCCGCUGAACUUAA